UACGGGAGGCAGCAGUGGGGAAUAUUGGACAAUGGGCGAAAGCCUGAUCCAGCCAUGCCGCAUGAGUGAAGAAGGCCUUCGGGUUGUAAAGCUCUUUAGUGAGAAAGAUAAUGACGGUACUCACAGAAGAAGUCCUGGCUAACUCCGUGCCAGCAGCCGCGGUAAUACGGAGAGGGCUAGCGUUAUUCGGAAUUAUUGGGCGUAAAGAGCGCGUAGGCUGAUUAGUAAGUUAAAAGUGAAAUCCCAAAGCUUAAACUUUGGAAUUGCUUUUUAAAAACUGCUAGUCUAGAGAUUGAAAGAGGAUAGAGGAAUUCCUAGUGUAGAGGUGAAAUUCGUAAAUAUUAGGAGGAACACCAGUGGCGAAGGCGUCUAUCUGGUUCAAAUCUGACGCUGAGGCGCGAAGGCGUGGGGAGCAAAACAGGGAUUAGAUACC
rnacentral:rRNA from 1 species